ACACAAAAAAAAACACACAUUCAUCAAAUCAAAACAAAAAAGUUUACCAAAAAUCUGCUCCCAAAUAUCAUUCAAUUUAAUUGAUCCAGACUAUAUAUAUACUUACACAGAUCUGUAUCUAUACAUUUUUCAGAUCUGAUACUUUCAUCGAAACGACGUAGUUUCGAAAUCCUUACGAGUGAUUGUAAUUUUGAGGUGAGUUGACUCGGUGUGAUUUAACUCGGAAAUGGAAACACUUGUUGCAUACGCACAUCACGAACAGCAGUUUCAUAAUAACAACAGACACCGAUAUAACCGGAAUCAUAACGGUGCGUUUGGCAAAAUCAAUUGCCGGACUUUUCAAUCCGGGUCGGGUAUACUUCCAAUUCCUAACUCGGUUAAAAAUAUUUCUAGUCCUGUUACCAAACACUCACCAAAAAAUGUGAAAAAACAGUUUCAGGUUACUGAUCAUCAGAAGGUGAACAGAAUUAGUAAAAGUAAUUCUGUACCUAUUACACUUGAUAUUAAUAAGAUGAAUGAAAAUGAAAUGUUUUGUUUUUCUGAGUUAUGGGCUGGACCGGCUUAUUCGAAUUCACCACCACCUAGUUCUUUGCCUAUACCUAAGUUUAGUGUGAAGCCAAAAAGGACUGUUUCACUUGAGUUGCCAUUAGGUGAGGUUGAGGAUAUUGAAUUGUUGACACCUGUUGUGAAAUCGGCGCCUCCUUCGCCUACUAGGGAUCAUAAGGCGGCGGGGCGUAGGGGUUUCUUUAUGGGUGGUGAUUGUGAUGGGGACGAUGAGUUUGCGACCAAGACUCUUCGUCGGAUACUUAAUCUUGAUGAGUGACAUACUUGGAGUGGUGUAUGCGCCACUUCUGUAAAUAAAGAUACAUGCUUUGUUUUUGUUUUUUUAGUUUUAGGUUGUAUAUAGAGUGAAUAAGAUGACGGUUUAUGUUUACUGCUUACUAUUGGGUUGUUUACUAGUUUAUAUGUAGUUAUGGGUUAUGGUGUGAUGGUGGUACAAGGGUAUUGAUGGCUGUUUAGGUGGUAGGUUGAUAUUAAGGAGUCAAGAUGGAAUUGUAGUUUGUUGUUGAAGUUACUUGGUAUUGAAGCUGGAAUUGGGAUUUGUGGGAUGUAUGUGUUGGUGCUGGAUCAUUUAUCGGGUAAGCAGUCUGUUGGUGUAAAAAGGGUUUGGGCAGUUGGCCGCUUGGUUGGUGGUAAGUCGAUAUUCUGAAAACUAGUACCAAUUAAUAACUUGUUGAAGUUUUUCUGGGAUGGAAAUUCGGUUAGGAUUGGUGGGGAAUUAUUAAUGGAUAGAAUGGUGUGGAAGCAGACUAUGGUUGUAAAAGGGUUUGUCUGCUUAAGUGGUUGGUGGUAGAUCAGUAUUCUGAAAAUUAAAUACAGGCUCUUUACUUGUUGACUUGUUGUAGGUUAUUGGGAAUCAAAGCUUGGUUCAGUGUUGUUGAGGCGUUUUGGUAUUUGAUCAUACAUUGGGAAAGCAGACGAUGGAGAUGUAAAAAGGGUUUGGCUGCUUUCAACUCGUAGAUCAAAAUUCUGAAAGUUAUUACAUAUUCGUGACUUGUAUUUUCUUGGUAUUUGAUGUCUGGUUAGGGAUACAUUGGUUCUGUGGAUCAUAUGUUGUGGGAGCAGACUUUGGGUUUAAAUCUUAAACGGUUUUGGCUACUUAGGUGUUUGGUGGUAUAUGAUAUUAUAAAAAUUGGUCCCGAUUCAUGAUUUGUUUUCUUUGGGAAGCUUUGCUGGGUUAGGCUUUGGUGGCGCAUGUUGAUUUAGGAUCUUGUGUUAGAUAAAGCAGACUGCGGGUGUAAAAAGGGGUAGUCUGCUACGGUGCUUGGUGCAUUUAUAUAAAAUGUCAAAAUGCAGAUUCAUAAAUUGGCGGUUUCUUGGAGGGUUUUUAAGUUUGAUGGGGCAUUUCAGUGCCUGGUCAUAUGUUGUGGAAGCUGAUGUUAGGUGUAAAAAGAGGUUGGCUUCUUAGGUGGUUGGGUGGUAGAUCAAUAUUCUGAAUGUCAAUACUGAUAACAUAACUUCUUGAAGUUUCUUGAAAGAUUGGAAGCUGGGAUUAGUACUGGGAUUGAUGGAACUUGGGUGCGAAAAGGGUCUGCUAUGGUCUUAAUGCAUUAUUCGGCAGGGGUGAUAGAAUAAUUUCCUUAAUUUAUCUAUUAAUUUUCGGCAGGAGAACUCAGUCUGUGUGGCCGAUGAGCCGUUGUGCUCAGCUGCGCUGCUGCAGAUAAUUUCUCUUUGUUGACUCUGGAGGCCUAGUCUCAAAAUAGAGGUUUCUAAGUUAAUACUUUUGUAUAUAGUGUAGAAUCCUUGAUGGGUUGUUCCAAUACUGCAGGAUCAUACUCUAUCCGUGUCAUCAAAAACUCAAGCUUCCUUAGUUAAUAGCACCAGUCCAUCUCUAAAACUUCCCUGUCACUUUCUCCUGUCUGGUUUCAGCUGGUUUUGUGUUCUUCCAUACUCAUUGUUAUUUAAGGCAGUGGCUAAUGAUCUCUUCCAUUUCUGAUAGUUUCUUGUUGUAGCCCUCGUCUUCUUUUUCAGUGUCCAUCCUUUCUAUUUAUUUCCUAUAGAGAUAACGUUAGAUUUUCAAGUCUUCUGUUAGCGAGGUUGUAGUAACCCGCUUCACCAUCUUUUCUGGUUUUUAAGAUAGAAAAGUGGGAAGGGGAAGUCAAAUAGUUUCAUAUCUGUCAUAUGGUCUAUAAUGUUUUCCUAGGUAUCAGCUUACAUUACUUUUUACUUGGAAGGUCAAUGCCACUGUUCUUGUCUGUAAAAGAGGUGUAAUUAUUGUCUUUCAAGAUUGUUGAUCGUGCCAAAGCCACUGAAGGGAAUGCAUCUUAAUACGGGAGAGAAGCAUCUCCAGGGCUGUUCUUUCAAACUACAAUGGUUGAGCAGUUGUGGACUUGUAGCUGUUCACUUGCUCCGUUUCUCUGUUUUACUUUUGAAUCUUCUAUGCAAGACUUAAUUUGAAGGUGCUAUUCGAUCCAGUGCAGUGGAAGUAGCUGAUUGGAGAAACAUCUUUUGGAGGUUGCUCUUCCAAAACAAUGGUGGAAGUAGCUGUUCUUUAUACACUCUGGUCGCUCACUGGUGGUUCUCUUGUUUACUAUAUUGCUUUCACUAUUAAACCUUCUGAUCAAAGACUUAAUUUGAAGGUCUAGUUUGUUUUUCUUUUUUCUUCGUGAAAUGACUUUGUUUUUAAGUACUCUUUUAUUAAUGGAGACUGCAUAUUCACUGUUA